CCCGCUGAACUUAAGCAUAUCAAUAAGCGGAGGAAAAGAAACUAACAAGGAUUCCCCUAGUAACUGCGAGUGAAGCGGGAAAAGCUCAAAUUUAAAAUCUGGCAGUCUCUGGCUGUCCGAGUUGUAAUCUGGAGAAGCGUUUUCCGCGUUGGACCGUGUACAAGUCUCUUGGAAUAGAGCAUCAUAGAGGGUGAGAAUCCCGUCUUUGACACGGACUACCAACGCUCUGUGAUGCGCUCUCAACGAGUCGCGUUGUUUGGGAAUGCAGCGCUAAAUGGGUGGUAAAUUCCAUCUAAAGCUAAAUAUUGGCGAGAGACCGAUAGCGAACAAGUACCGUGAGGGAAAGAUGAAAAGCACUUUGGAAAGAGAGUUAAACAGUAUGUGAAAUUGUUGAAAGGGAAACGCUUGAAGUCAGUCGCGUCAUAUAGACUCAGCCUUGCUUUUGUGAGGUGUAUUUCUUAUGUGACGGGCCAGCAUCGAUUUUGACUGUUGGAAAAAGUUCAGAGGAAUGUGGCACCUCCGGGUGUGUUAUAGCCCCUGUUCGCAUACAGCGGUUGGGAUCGAGGUUCGCAGCACGCCUUUUGGCCGGGGUUCGCCCACGUACGUGCUUAGGAUGCUGGCGUAAUGGCUUUAAACGACCCGUCUUGAAACACGG
rnacentral:rRNA from 1 species